UACGUAGGUGGCAAGCGUUACUCGGAAUCACUAGGCGUAAAGCGCAGGUAGGCGGUUUGGUAAGUCUUUUGUGAAAGCUCCCGGCUCAACUGGGAGAGGUCAAAGGAAACUACUAGGCUAGAGUGUGGUAGGGGAUACUGGAAUUCCUGGCGUAGCGGUGAAAUGCGUAGAUAUCAGGAGGAAUACCUAUGGCGAAAGCAGGUAUCUGGGCCAUCACUGACGCUGAGCUGCGAAAGCUAGGGGAGCAAACAGG
rnacentral:rRNA from 1 species